rnacentral:rRNA from 1 species
GGCCAGACUCCUACGGGAGGCAGCAGUCGAGAAUCAUUCACAAUGGGGGAAACCCUGAUGGUGCGACGCCGCGUGGGGGAAUGAAGGUCUUCGGAUUGUAAACCCCUGUCAUGUGGGAGCAAAUUAAAAAGAUAGUACCACAAGAGGAAGAGGCGGCUAACUCUGUGCCAGCAGCCGCGGUAAUACAGAGGUCUCAAGCGUUGUUCGGAAUCACUGGGCGUAAAGCGUGCGUAGGCUGUUUCGUAAGUCGUGUGUGAAAGGCGCGGGCUCAACCCGCGGACGGCACAUGAUACUGCGAGACUAGAGUAAUGGAGGGGGAACCGGAAUUCUCGGUGUAGCAGUGAAAUGCGUAGAUAUCGAGAGGAACACUCGUGGCGAAGGCGGGUUCCUGGGACGCAACUGACGCUCAUACACGAAAGCGUGGGGAGCAAACAGGAUUAGAUACCCUCGUAC